UGGGAAGGGACGGGGGCAAGAACAUGGAGUGAUGAUUCUCCGUCCUGUUUGGUCCACGGGAUCCUUUUUGUUGAAGGGUGAUGUGUUCAACUAUCCCUCCUCAGAAUAUUUGGAGAACCACUGCCACACAUCUUCACUUAACACACCAUGGUACCAAGGACUGGAGAGUUGCCUGGCCAUUGGUGGCGGAAUAUGGGGUCACUGCAGGUCUCCUGAAGCUCUGAGGCUUAUCAAAUUGCCACAGGCUUGUUUAUGCCACACUGUGAUGACUUCUGUGGUUCUCUUCUUCAUCCACUGCUGGAAGCAUAAGCUGUAUAAGCGAGAGAGAGUAUAGGACUUGGUGUUGAGGCCAUCUGUAUGAGCUGUUGGGAGCCAGCCAUCAAGUGUAUCCACCCCCAGAGGUGGUCCUCUCCCUUCAGCCUCUGGAGAUGGCAAAAGCCAGGUGGUGGCUCAUUCUGCCACUUACAUCCUCACUCCCUCUCCCCCAUCCUUGUAGGAGUUGAAUAAUCACCAGUCUCCACUUUACUCUAGAAAGGAAGUUGUCCCACUUCACUUUUUAAAAGGUUGUCAACUGUUGCAGGAAACAUCUUAACUCAACAUUUUUAUUUUUUGCCCAUGUCCUUCCUUUAAAAAUGAAUCUUCGGCUGUGUUGCAACAGUUCAUGUAUGGAAGGACUACAUUACUCUUUAACUUCUUGUUUGGACCUUUAAGAACCUAUCUACUUGGUUCUCGGAGGCCUAGACAUCAUGUGUGUCUACUUAUCCAUCACUAGUGCUGCAGGAUGCAGUGUCCAGGCAUCUUUCUAAAUGGGUUCUGGUAGAAUGUCAUGGGUGGGGUGGGGCAUAAGCAUAGUUAUUGCUAAGUUACAGUUAAAUGUCUGAACACAUUAAAUUUUUUCUGUUGCAUUUCAGCCUGAAAAGUAUUCACCUUCCAGUUUUCUGCCCCUUGUGAGAAGUAUUUUGCAUGUUUCUGAAGAGGUAUCGGUAUGUUUGUGUGUGUGUGUGUGUGUGUAAUGUGUGUGUGCUUUGUCUAUUGAUGUGUUUAUGCUUCUUUCUUCCUCAUGAUUCCUGUAAUUUUAUUAGCCAUUCUUUCAGUAAAAUAAGACUCAACAUGACACCGUGUGAGUCUUAUAAAACAAGUCACCAGAAAUCUAGAAAAAGUUCUUGGUGAAAUAUUGUUUUAGUAUUAAUCUGUGGGUGGUUGAUGCAUGUGGAACUUUACCUCGAUAAGGUAUUAGAAACUAUAAUGAAUUCUAGUGCUUGCUCCUGAUGCUUUUGAAAAUUCUUUAUUUCUCCAUUAAUGUCUUUUGAAUGAGCAGAUGCUUCUCUGUGCUCAUAUUGGUUCAUGGUCAAUUCAGCAAUUGAUAUCGUAGCCCACAUAUGUCUGUGUGUGUGCAUAUAGAUGUGUUUACAUCUGUAUGUGUGAUAUGUGCAUAUACAUAUAUGAUAUAUGUGCAUAUCUAUAUGUGUGAUAUGUACAUGUAUAUGUGAUAUAUGUGCAUAUAUAUGUGUGAGAUAUAUAUAUAAAUGUGUAUAUCAUAUAGCUCAAUACAUUAGAGAAAGAGAUUAAGUUAAAAUAAAAAUAUCAGAUCACUGACAGCAGACAGUAUGCCCAGAACUUGUGGUGACUUCAGCAUUAUCAGAAUGUUGAUAGCAUUACAUCUGUUGUAUCUGAAAAGUGCCAGAUAUGGUGCUAAUUUAUAAUGGAGGAGGAGGAGGUGAAGAAAGAUAAGGCAAUGAAAAAUAGUACACAGUAGGAGAUAGUCGACUAAAUAGUAGUUUGUUAAGUUUUUUUCACACCAUAUAACAAAGUACUGUCACAGACUUCUGGUUUGCUUUAUAAAUCAACUGUGUCUAAUGCUCAUCUAUACUUCAUGUGGACUUCUCUAAAUAGAGCCUUUCCCUUUUGUCUUACAGAAGCAUUUUUUUGUUUGUUUGUUUCUAAGUGUUACGUGGUCUGGUCCAAGGAUCUGAGUGCAGCCAUGGAAUAAAAGAAGGCUUCUCGCUACCACUGAACUUUUCAAGGCCAAGGGCAGGGCAUCAGGCAGAAAACUAAAGGGAAAGACAGCAUCAUAGAGGAAGAACAGAGAGAAAGAUGCAGACAGUAGGGAAUGGUCGAGAAAAUGAUGCUUAGAGUUAUCAUAGAUGCGACUCAGUGUUUAAAACCUUAAAUGCUUCCAUCGCUGAGAAGUUUAAACAUUAAAAUUAAAAAAUAUAUCUUUCCUUUUUCCUUUAUUUGCAUUCCUUUUACUUGCCCUCUGACUCUAUUACCAAUAUAUGUUUUUCUUUCUUUCAUAAGUUUUUAUUGACAAUUUAGAGUAUAUGAUUAAAACCACUAGGUUGGGCAGAGUAUGCGGUCAAGACAAAAAGCAGCAAAGGUUUACAGGAUGUCUAGAUGUAGUCUUAAGGACAGAGAGAGUUGGUACCUGCCUAUUCAGAAUACUUUCAAAAUCCUGAGAAGGGACCCUGCCCCCACCCCAGUCUUCCUUUAUCGCUAGAUGUUCUU
ensembl:lncRNA